CGUCUUGAAACACGGACCAAGGAGUCUAACAUGUGCGCGAGUCAUUGGGUACCACUAUACCCAAGGGCGUAUUGAACGAAAAGCUCGGCUUGCCGAGUGAGGGAAGAUGGAGGCGCGCUUGCGUGCCUCCCGCAUUCCCGGGGCGUCUCGUCCUACCUCCGCUUGUCGGUCGAAGGUGAGGCGCACCAAGAGCGCACACGUUGGGACCCGAAAGAUGGUGAACUAUGCCUGGCCAGGACGAACUCAGGGGAAACCCUGAUGGAGGUCCGUAGCGGUCCUGACGUGCAAAUCGGUCGUCCGACCCGGGUAUAGGGGCGAAAGACUAAUCGAACCAUCUAGUAGCUGGUUCCCUCCGAAGUUUCCCUCAGGAUAGCUGGCGCUCGGCAGACCUUGCGAAGGCCCCCGGGCUCUUCCCGAAGGGCCCGGGGGCGGGGCAGAUUUAUCCGGUCAAGCGAAUGAUUAGAGGUCUUGGGGCCGAAACGAUUCU
rnacentral:rRNA from 1 species